rnacentral:rRNA from 1 species
GUUUACGGCCAUACCAGCCUGGGUACGCCCGAUCUCGUCUGAUCUCGGAAGCUAAGCAGGGUCUGGCCUGGUUAGUACUUGGAUGGGAGACCGCCUGGGAAUACCAGGUGCUGUAAGCU